rnacentral:lncRNA from 1 species
GCAGGUCUAGGGCCCUAGCUCACUAGAAACAUCAGGAAGCCAAAUGGAUCACUACCACUUCUGCCAUCAGCUAACUGCAGGACCAGCAGCUUUUUUGGGUGCUGCACCUGCCUCCCACACACUCCUGCCGGGUUUGUUUGCUUGGGAGGACCGGAGCAGAAUUCGGUUCAGCUCAAAGAACUGUGCUAGAUCUUGGUUUCAAAUGUCAUUUUCCAGUAAAAGAAGCGAAGUCUCCUUGGGAAAAUGGCUAGUUCUGAAGCUGGGGCAGGGAAGAUACAGGCUGAACCUGGAGCAUCUUGCAGUACGAGAAAGUAAGUGCGUGCUUACUGCUGAAAACAAGUGCUGAGCCUGCCACUGAAGACUGGCAGCUCCCACUGCUCAGGCCACUGAAUGGAUAGCAACAGCCACUGGUUGUCUUAAGCUAUUCUUCCACAGGCUCUUCAACAGAGGAUGGAAGUAAGCUUGUCAAAAAGUAAAUAUCAGCUCUGAAAGAAAGAAAUGAAUAAUGCUAUCUGUAGAUACUAUCCCUUCUACAUAGGAGGUGGAGCUUAGUCCACCUUUGAGAGGGGGUUAAACACAGUGACUUGCUCCCAAAGAAGAGAGUAGGGAGAGAACAAACACUGCCUUCACCAAGUGAUGACGGUUCACAUCCCCAGUGAUGCCAUGUGCAGAUCAUGCCUGACAUGUGAGGAUAAGGGCACUUCACCUCUGUGGUAUUCUUCCCCAAAACCAUAAUCUUAGUCUAAUCAUGAGAAAACAGACAAAUCCAAUUUAGGGGCAUUUCUACAGGAAACUUGGCCAGUACCCAUCAAGACUGUCAAGGUCAUAAAAACAAGAAAAGACUGAAAAAUGCUCACAGACUGGGGAGACAUGUAAACUAAAUGCAGUGUGGUGUCCUGGUCCGCAUCAGAACAGAAAGAGGACAUUAAUACAAAAACUGGUGAAACCCAAAUAAAGUCCGGAGUUUAGUUAAUUGUAAUAAGCCAAUGCCGUUUUAGUUUUAGCAAAUGUACCAUGGAAAUGUACAAUGUAAAUGACUGGGCAAAUUGGGUGAGGGGUACACAGGAACUCGGUACUAUCUUUGCAACUUUCUGUGAAUCUAAAAUUAUUUAAAAAUAAAAACGCUAUUUUUUUUAAGAAAGCACUAGCUGGGCAGGAGAAGGGAUGCAAAGACAAGACAGUCACUGCCUUCGACCUUCAGCCUGCCUAUGUGAGGGAGGCGCAACUUGGGCUCUUGACACACACUGAGCUCCAGCUCAUCACCCAAGCUAACUCUCAAAGGUGGUGUGAGAUCCCUCUAAACACU